CAGAGGUGCGUGGUCGUGGCGCGAGGGAUCCUGAGGCUGCUCCAGCAGUGCGCCGCCGCCGUCUCCUGGGGCGGCUUGGGUUAGCCGGGAGAUCCUGUGCCUUCAAACCCUACGAGUCCAUACUUUAAAACAAAAUGAAGAAAGUAAGGCUUAAGGAACUAGAGAGUCGCCUGCAACAAGUGGAUGGAUUUGAAAAGCCCAAGCUACUUCUGGAACAGUAUCCUACCAGGCCGCACAUUGCAGGUAGGGCGGCUGGUUCACCACGCCCCGGCUUUCGGCGUUAGUCCAGUCUACUCUGUGAUAAAAAUAGAACAGUUAUUUGGAUACAGAGAAUGUCUAGAGAAAUUCUGCCCUAAGAUCACCUGUCGCGUUAGAGAGGCCUUCCUUGACACUGCAGCUCAAGGCACACCCUCCACAGACAUACACACUAUCAUUUUACUGUCUAGUUUUCUGCAUAUCCCUUAACACUGCCAGACAUCUUUUUAAUGUGUUUUUUUCUCUUCUCACAUUACAAUCUCUGAGGACAAGGAAUUUGUUAGACUUGUUCAUA
rnacentral:lncRNA from 10 species